UAAUACGUAGGGUGCGAGCGUUAAUCGGAAUUACUGGGCGUAAAGCGAGCGCAGGCGGUUUUGUAAGUCAGAUGUGAAAGCCCCGGGCUCAACCUGGGAACUGCGUUUGAAACUGCAAGGCUAGAGUAUGGGAGAGGGGGGUAGAAUUCCACGUGUAGCAGUGAAAUGCGUAGAGAUGUGGAGGAAUACCAAUGGCGAAGGCAGCCCCCUGGCCUAAUACUGACGCUCAUGCUCGAAAGCGUGGGGAGCAAACAGGAUUAGAUACCCUGGUAGUCCACGCCCUAAACGAUGUCUACUAGUUGUUGGUGGAGUAAAAUCCAUUAGUAACGCAGCUAACGCGUGAAGUAGACCGCCUGGGGAGUACGGUCGCAAGAUUAAAACUCAAAGGAAUUGACGGG
rnacentral:rRNA from 1 species